ACCAUUUCACUCUGAUGAGCUGUAGCAGGAGCCAAAGAAAGAUCUGAAGGAAACCUGGGGGUGGAAGGCAGCCUGGAUGUCGAGAGCAUCUCGUUUGCUAACUUUUUGAAAUACAUCCACUCUUCGGUUUUUGCAAGGGUCUCUAUCAUUCAAUGUCAGACAAGCAGACGCUUGCUCCACCCUUGGCGCUCAAGACCUCAAGCCAGUUCUGGUCUCAGCAGGUGCCUGUCAAUGUCUUCUACUGAGUUGCUGCUGUAGGGAUGCAGAGGUCAACCCAGCCCUCCAACUGUGAGCCCAACACUCCCUACCACCGUGGGCCUUCCUAUUCCUCCUCUUCCAAGGACACGUCUCUAUUGUCAAAAGCAGGUGAGAGCCCAGAGCUAACCAGUGGUUCACUCUAGGGUGUUUUAAUAAAAGCUGGGUUCUUCAGGACGCAGGCUCUACCCACGUCUCUGUGUGCAUCUCUGCCAGAGCCGAGUAGGUUUGACUAAGUGUCAAGUUCUCCCUCGGAUCCUGCAUCCUGAGUCAGCACCACUCCAGGGCGCUCAACAGCCCUCCACCCUCAUCUCCCUGGAGAGAACCAGACACCUCAGUCAGGGACCACAGCAUGAAGGAGGGAGCCGACAUCCUACCUGCCCUUACCACACACCAGACACCACAGAAUGAGCCCAGCUAUCUGCAAAGAUGUUUGGCAAAA
ensembl:lincRNA Gm29099 predicted gene 29099